UGGUCAGCCAUACUGGCCUUUCCAGUCCUGGACCUAGUCAUUCUAGUCCCCACCUCAGGGCCUUUGUAAUUCUUGUCUCAAGCACUGUUCCCCCAGUUUCUGAGUAGCUGGCUGCUGCUUCUCCUUGGGGGCUCAGUUCAAAUGACCACUCUACUGUAGUGGCUCCUGUUUAUUCAUAUGAUCCUGUUUCUUUUUUUUUUUUAAUUUAAAAAUAAGUAUUUUUUUCCUUCUUAGAGAUGGGGUCUCGCUAUAUUGCCCAGAUGGGUCUCGAGCUUCUGGGCUCAAGUGAUCUGCCGCCUGAGCCUUCCAAAGUGCUGGAUUACAGGAAGCCAGGUUCCGUGUUGUGAGCUGCUGUAUGGAGAGGCACAUGUGGCAUAACUGAAUCUUGCCAACAAUUGUGCUCGGAAGUGAAUCACCCUUUCCCCAUCCCCGUUGAGCUUUCAGAUGCAGCACCUUAACUACAGCCUCAUGAGAGACUAAGCCAGAGGCACCUAGAUAAGGAGAACACAGAUUACUGAACCACAACAACUGUGAGAUAAUAAAUAUUUGUUAUUUUCAGCCAA